AGGACAGGUCAUAAUCCCUGGCUGGCAGGUGCAGAAGGGACAGGCGUCACCCCCACUAGCAGGUGCAGAGGUGCCGUUGCAGCAGUUGGAUGUGAGGCCAAGAAGCAGAAGCUAAGGGAGUGGGUCUGGGGCAUCCCUGGAGCUCAGAAGCCAAGGCCCGUGCCUGCCCCAGGGCUGGUGCCAUACAUAGUUCCAGGCACUGGGGAUGGAGGGUAGCCGAUGGGGCCCUGAGCAGGACGUGCCUCUUCCGGACUUGACCACAGAACCCAAGCAUGGUUCAAGCGAUUCUCCUGCUUCAGCCUCCUGAGUAGUUGGGAUUACAGAUGCCCGCCACCGCACCCAGUCACAGAUGGACUCUGAGAGAGAAAAUAGCACCCCUGUCCAAACGUCACAUGCCUGGCGGAGGAACACAGCCUGGCCUGUGCAGCCGAAUGUCGGAGAGUGCACCUUCCUCUCUUAUUUUGUUUUAUUUCCAGGGAAAGGGAAAGGAAGACAUGCAGUCUCAUUGAAGUCCUUGGGUCACUUUACCCCUGCCCUUGGGUUGAUGGACGAUCAGAUGUCUUCCUUCUCAUGCUGGCUGAGACAUCAAACACCAGAGUGGACUUACUUGGCUCCAGUGCUGGUGAUGGGCACUUCUGGGUGAAUGGAAUCUGGGGUGUAUGUAUACUAGCGAAUUUGCUGGUUCUUAGUGCAGGAUCAUUUGAAAAUUUAUUAUUCUGCCAAAUUGAUCAAAUCACUUUGAACAAUUUAUGCAUGUACUUCAUUACACAAUAGUUUCCAUUUCUGCACAUUCUAACACCUAUUAAUUUUUGCAAAUACUAUAGCCAUAAUAUAACAUCACAUUGUUAUUUUUGAUUUAUGUUUAACUGAAUUCAGGUAAUUUUGUACUGGUGUUCAGAAGAUUGACUUUAGGUUUUCUUACUUGCAAAUUACCUUUUCAUGUGUGUUGCCCAUGUUUUAAUGGGUUGACCUUUUUUAUUGAUGUUACUAUGGACUGAACUGCAUCCCUGCGAGAUUCAUAUGUUGAAGCUCGAGCUCCCAGUACCUCACAAUGGGACUGUAUUUGGAGAUAGGGCCUUUAAACAGGUAAUUAAGUGAAAAUGAGGUCAUAAGGGUGGGCCCUGGUCCAAUAUGGUUGGUGUCCUUAUAAGAAGAGGAAAUGAGGACACACACACACACACACACAGGAAUGACUGCAUGAGACACAGGAAGAGGCCCCAUCUACAAGCCAAGGAGAGCCUCAGGAGGAUCCAGGAAUGACUAAAUUGUCAUCUCAGACUUGUAGCUUCCAGCACUGUGAGAAAAUAAGUUUCUGUUUUUCCAUUAAAAAUUCUGAUUAUUAUUGUUGAAAAUGAGCACAAUGGCUUUUAAAAAAAAAUGUUGGUAUUCUAUCUGACCAUCUGAGUGAAAGCUCUUAUUAGUGUUAGAGUUUUUUUCAGAUUUCUUUGAAUUUUCUGUAUAAAAAUAUUGUCAGUAAUACAAAAUAUAUUAUCUUUUCCCAUACA